rnacentral:rRNA from 1 species
CCUACGGGAGGCAGCAGUGGGGAAUAUUGGGCAAUGGGCGCAAGCCUGACCCAGCAACGCCGCGUGAAGGAAGAAGGCUUUCGGGUUGUAAACUUCUUUUGUCAGGGACGAAGCAAGUGACGGUACCUGAAGAAAAAGCUCCGGCUAACUACGUGCCAGCAGCCGCGGUAAUACGUAGGGAGCGAGCGUUGUCCGGAAUUACUGGGUGUAAAGGGAGCGUAGGCGGGACGGCAAGUCAGAUGUGAAAGCUGAGGGCUCAACCUUCAGACUGCAUUUGAUACUGCUGUUCUUGAGUGAAGUAGAGGUAAGCGGAAUUCCUCGUGUAGCGGUGAAAUGCGUAGAUAUGAGGAGGAACAUCGGUGGCGAAGGCGGCUUACUGGGCUUUUACUGACGCUGAGGCUCGAAAGCGUGGGGAGCAAACAGGAUUAGAUACCCCAGUAGUC